rnacentral:rRNA from 1 species
AGUGAACGCUGGCGGUAGGCCUAACACAUGCAAGUCGAACGGCAGCACAGUAAGAGCUUGCUCUUACGGGUGGCGAGUGGCGGACGGGUGCGGAAUACAUCGGAAUCUACUUUUUCGUGGGGGAUAACGUAGGGAAACUUACGCUAAUACCGCAUACGACCUCCGGGUGAAAGCAGGGGAUCUUCGGACCUUGCGCGAUUGAAUGAGCCGAUGUCGGAUUAGCUAGUUGGCGGGGUAAAGGCCCACCAAGGCGACGAUCCGUAGCUGGUCUGAGAGAGAGUUCAGCCACACUGGAAGUGAGACACGGCCCAGACUCCUACGGGAGGCAGCAGUGGGGAAUAUUGGACAAUGGGGGCGAGCCUGAUCCAGCCAUACCGCGUGGGUGAAGAAGGCCUUCGGGUUGUAAAGCCCUUUUGUUGGGAGAGAAAAGCAGCAGGUUAAUACCCCGCUGUUCUGACGGUACCCAAAGAAUAAGCACCGGCUAACUUCGUG